UGGGGAAUAUUGGACAAUGGGCGAAAGCCUGAUCCAGCCAUGCCGCGUGUGUGAAGAAGGUCUUCGGAUCGUAAAGCACUUUAAGCUGGGAGGAAGGGCAGUAAGCGAAUACCUUGCUGUUUUGACGUUACCGACAGAAUAAGCACCGGCUAACUCUGUGCCAGCAGCCGCGGUAAUACAGAGGGUGCGAGCGUUAAUCGGAGUUACUGGGCGUAAAGCGUGCGUAGGCGGCUGAUUGAGUCGGAUGUGUAAUCCCCGGGCUUAACUUGGGAAUUGCAUGCGUUACUGGUGAGCUAGAGUGUGGGAGAGGGUGGAGGAAUUCCAGGUGUAGCGGUGAAAUGCGUAGAGAUGUGGAGGAAUACCGAUGGCGAAGGCGGCCAUCUGGCCUAACACUGACGCUGAGGUACGAAAGCAUGGGGAGCAAACAGG
rnacentral:rRNA from 1 species